AGCUGUCAGCCCAGAGCCCGACACGGGGCUCAAACCCACAAACUGUGAGAUCAUGAUCUGAGCCAAAGUCAGACGCUUAACCGACUGAGCCCCCAGCCUCCCCAAUUUUGGUUAAUAAGCAGGUAACAUCUGCUUGUUAAAAACAACCAACUUUUAAGGAGUAUCCUUUUCCUUUGGAAUCAUCACUAUGUUCCAGACACUGCAGGUGUCGUAAGUAUGAUCUCAUAAGUCCUCAAGUUGGAAAGAACUCCGAACAGAACCCCAUCUGUAGAAUGAGAAGCCAAUGCCCACCUCACAGAGUUUUGGGGAUCGAGCAAGACAUUGCCUACGGGGCACGCAGGGCUAGCACAAAGGUAAGUGCACAGUGUCUUAUGCUUAUUAUGAGCACUGCAGCAGCCAUCAACUUUAUCAAGGCACCAAGAACCUUGAUGCUCUCAGACAUGAAGACACUCGCCCAAGACCUAAAACCUGAGAAGUCACAGAACAGGUUCCUCCUGGCUUCAAAUGCCACACUUAGCAAUAUUGGGCCCUUGGAGAAACAUGGUAGCAAGGGUGUCGGCCAGGAGACGCUGUCCCAUUGUUAUUGGUUGGCACCCCUUCUACAUGGUUCUGUGCCCUUUUCAAUUGUUCUUGUGCCACAGGAACAUACAGGCCCUAGUCCCACAUUUAGUCCCACAUUUAGCUAAGCCUCGCUGUAUGUGAGUUUGAGGAGCUUUAGUUGCUUUGUUUUAGAUGCUUUCCUUUCUGCCUCCUCCACACACAGGCUGGGAAAGUGAGGAUGUUCCUGCCUCGUUGGGACACCCAGAGAGGCGGCUUUGCCUGUGCCCCUUUGGAAAACUGCCGCUGCAUAUGGAGGCAAGGAGGGGGUGUCUGAGACUGUGGACUCGCAUCUGUAGCGGGAAGAGAAGUCUGAGGGUGACGGUGUUCGAGGUACCGACCCUUGUCAUCUUUUCUUUGUUGUGUGUGCAUGUGUGUUGGGGGCAGGGCUCUGAUUACUGGUUGCUCGCAGUUUCCCUUACUUUCCUCAGAACUCUUCUGAUUCAUUAGAUUAGCAUAAGUAACUGAAGCUGGCAGGAUAGUUGCUUAAUUGGUUGGAGGUUAAUAUUUUGAACUCCACCGUCAAGGCGGUGGGUCUUGGGUUCUGGAGGCCCGGGCAGCCCCCAUCGCGCACGUUGGACCCACACUAUCAAACUCAUUGCCACCCUCCACCUCUCUCUGUGCCCCGCCAGCCUUUGUGGGAGGGGAGUUCGUGGUAGGAGCCAGAAAGAUCACGAGCUCUCUCCUAUCCUUUCAGUGUUAAAUUCUGUUUAGCGAAAAACAAACAAAAAAACUCAUUUAAUUUCCUAAUCCUUGUCCUUCCUCCUCCCUUUAACCCCCAACUUUGCUCCCAGUGCCAUCAGACUAUGCACUGCCUACCUCCCACCCCCCAUUGCAGACUCCUGCAGGCCCCCGGCCGCCCGCCCCCCAUUCCUUCACCAUAUUAGCCCCUGGCUCACCGUCACCUCUCCAGUACUGCUCUGGUCAGGGUUCAGUACAGAGAAGCCUCACAGUACCGCGGGGCUCUCAGGUCACUGACCAGCCUGGCUGUGAUGUACUGAUCCCGUACUCCAUCUCGGCCUCCUGCUCCCGCCGUCACACCUUAGCCAUGGUCAUCAUCAGUAGCCACACCCCAGUAGGCAACACGGUCUUCAUAACUACACCUCUCGUUUUCCACCCGUGGCCCCCUGCCCUUCCGUCCCUCCCCCUCCAGUGCCCACCCCCUCGGCGGUUCUUCAGCCUCGCCGGGCCUAGAGUUUGUGGCCCCUACCACCUUUUCACUGCCCCUCCCCUCCCCAGAGAUUCUCUGGUCCUCAUCCGCCAUGCCCCUGGGUUUAGUCCCACUCUGUGCCUGGAAUGCCUGCACACGGCUGGAUACAAGCAUGUGGACUGACAAAGCUUUGGUUCAUGAGUGCCGGGCUCCAGUAAGUUCCUAACGCUGCCCAGCAGCCCCGCACGUCCCUGGUUCCUUCGUCCUCCAGUGGACAUUCUCCUUGACCCUCGACCCUCGACCCUGACCCCUCCUCUCCUCUCGAGGGCUGCUCCUGUUGUUUCCUGUUUCACUGAGAAAACAGGCCAUCGGCGGGUGGCUUGCUCCUGCUCCCACUACCGUGUCCCCCUGCUUGUGACGGUGGUGAGCCAGCAGCAGUGCCCCUUUCCAAGUCUGUCCUCCGUCUGGGCAUCCUCCCCGCCCCCGCCCCCAAGCACCACCACAGUGCUGUCCUCGCCCCUCCUCCGGGUCAUUCCCACCGGCAUGUGAACAUGCUGGGGUGACUCCCAUCUUCCUGUUAACACAAACCCUUGACAGAGUUCUGCACACCCUCCUUUUUUCCACUUCUCAGCUUCCCUUGAACUCUCUCUGGUUGGGCUUCUGUCCCCCUCGGUCUACUGACACGGCGUUGGGCAGGGUCACCAAUGGUUCCCCUGUUGCCAGAGGAAUGUGCUUCCCCGUGUUUGAGUCCACCUGUCAGGGACAUUUGACACAAAAGCAACGGACACCCUCCUCUUGCAAACCCCUGCUUCUUGUGGCUUCCUCGCGCUCCACUGGCCGCUCAACCUCAUUUCCUCCGCCCGCCCUUAUCUCCUCCAAUACUGGAACGCCCAGUCCCCCUGGCUUCUCUAACUGCAUCUACCUCCGUGAUGAGCUCAGGCAUCUCACAGCUUUCAACACCAACUGCAUGCUGCCGACUCCUCAUUUUACCCCACAGCCCAGAUCUUCCCCCGAGCCCCACACUCGUACCUCUAACUGGCCACUCUAUAUCUCCAUUAAGGUGGCGAAUGAGCUAACAGACAUCUCAGACUUUUAACAUGUCAGAGAACAAGCUUCUGAGCUCUCUCCCCUCCCCUGGUCACCCCUCGGUCUUCCCCACCGAAGGAAAGAACCCUCGUCCGUUUGUGUAGACCCAAAACUUUGGAGACAUUUUUCUUUUUC